CAUCGCCUCUUGAACUAAAUAAGAGGUCCAGCCUGCCCAGUGAAAUUAUUCAACGGCCGCGGUAUCCUAACCGUGCGAAGGUAGCGUAAUCACUUGUUCUUUAAAUGAGGACUAGUAUGAAUGGCACCACGAGGGUUCUACUGUCUCCUUUUUAAAAUCAGUGAAACUAAUCUUCCCGUGAAGAAGCGGGAAUUUUUUUAUAAGACGAGAAGACCCUAUGGAGCUUUAAACAAAUGACAUUUGCUUAAUCUAAUAUUUUAUUUUCAAGAAAUAUAGCAUUAUGAUCCUUAGUUUUCGAUUGGGGUGAUCACGGAGAAAAAUUUAACCUCCACGCCGAAAGGGUUUAUUCCCUAAGCAAAAAGCUACAGCUUUAAGCACUAAAAAAUUAACGUAGUUUGACCCAAUAUUUUGAUCAACGAACCAAGUU
rnacentral:rRNA from 1 species